rnacentral:rRNA from 1 species
AUACGUAGGGGGCGAGCGUUGUCCGGAAUGAUUGGGCGUAAAGGGCGCGUAGGCGGCCCGGUAAGUCUGGAGUGAAAGUCCUGUUUUUAAGAUGGGAAUUGCUUUGGAUACUGUCGGGCUUGAGUGCAGGAGAGGUAAGUGGAAUUCCCAGUGUAGCGGUGAAAUGCGUAGAGAUUGGGAGGAACACCAGUGGCGAAGGCGACUUACUGGACUGUAACUGACGCUGAGGCGCGAAAGUGUUGGGAGCAAACAGGAUUAGAUACCCUGGUAGUCCACGCUGUAAACGAUGAAUACUAGGUGUGGGGGGACUGACCCCCUCCGUGCCGCAGUUAACACAAUAAGUAUUCCACCUGGGGAGUACGAGCGCAAGAUUGAAACUCAAAGGAAUUGCCGGGG